UCUCUUCUCACAUUGUAAUUGUUCUUCAAUAAUUACUUAUCCUUUUGAUUGAUGCGAAGAGGAAGUAUCACGAAAAGUUGGUUAACUUCUCUAUGUAUUUUAUAUUAUUAUCAUUAUCAACUUAUGUUUUUAUAUUACACUAUACUUUGAGUAGGAUGUUAAAGGGUAUUUCAAAAUUUUUAUUAACAAUUAGAUCAUGUUUCUAAUGUU
rnacentral:lncRNA from 1 species